AGUGAACGCUGGCGGUAGGCCUAACACAUGCAAGUCGAACGGCAGCACAGUAGGAGCUUGCUCUUACGGGUGGCGAGUGGCGGACGGGUGAGGAAUAAAUCGGAAUCUACUUUUUCGUGGGGGAUAACGUAGGGAAACUUACGCUAAUACCGCAUACGACCUACGGGUGAAAGCAGGGGAUCUUCGGACCUUGCGCGAUUGAAUGAGCCGAUGUCGGAUUAGCUAGUUGGCGGGGUAAAGGCCCACCAAGACGACGAUCCGUAGCUGGUCUGAGAGGAUGAUCAGCCACACUGGAACUGAGACACGGUCCAGACUCCUACGGGAGGCAGCAGUGGGGAAUAUUGGACAAUGGGCGCAAGCCUGAUCCAGCCAUACCGCGUGGGUGAAGAAGGCCUUCGGGUUGUAAAGCCCUUUUGUUGGGAAAGAAAAGCAGCAGGUUAAUACCCCGCUGUUCUGACGGUACCCAAAGAAUAAGCACCGGCUAACUUCGUG
rnacentral:rRNA from 1 species